GAUGAACGCUGGCGGCGUGCCUAAUACAUGCAAGUCGAGCGAACAGAUGAGGAGCUUGCUCCUCUGACGUUAGCGGCGGACGGGUGAGUAACACGUGGAUAACCUACCUAUAAGACUGGGAUAACUUCGGGAAACCGGAGCUAAUACCGGAUAAUAUAUUGAACCGCAUGGUUCAAUAGUGAAAGACGGUUUUGCUGUCACUUAUAGAUGGAUCCGCGCUGCAUUAGCUAGUUGGUAAGGUAACGGCUUACCAAGGCAACGAUGCGUAGCCGACGUGUGAGGGUGUUCAGCCCCACAAGAACUGAGACAAGGUCCAGACUCCUACGGGAGGCAGCCGUAGGGAAUCUUCCGCAAUGGGCGAAAGCCUGACGGAGCAAAGCCGCGUGAGUGAUGAAGGUCUUCGGAUCGUAAAACUCUGUUAUUAGGGAAGAACAAAUGUGUAAGUAACUAUGCACGUCUUGAAGGUACCUAAUCAGAAAGCCACGGCUAACUACGUG
rnacentral:rRNA from 1 species